ACUGACUCAAUGGAUAUCAGUUUGAGUCAACUCUGGUGGUUGGUGAUGGACAGGGAGGCCAGGUGUGCUGGAGUCCAUGGGGUUGCAAAGAGUUGGACACAACUGAGUGACCGAACUGAUGCAGAUGAAGUCAAUCAUCAUCAAGAUGAGUAAUCUAAUCACAACAGUGGUGAUUUUGCUUGGGCCACACCCUAGCAUUACCAGGACAUUUUAAACACCUGGACAGCACCCAAACCAAUUAAAUCAGAAUCUGGAGGUGGUCCCAAGUGUCAGUAUUUCAAAAGCUCUGGAAAUGGUGCAGUGCGUAAAUAAGGCUGAGCACCCAUGAACUAAGGCAGAAGCCAGGUUUGGAUGAGGAAUCACUCAAACUUGUUCUCAAGAAAGGAUGAGAAACAGAGACAGUACUUUCAUAUUUCCACCCUCCUGUCUCAAGAGCGUGCCUUACAUUGAAGAAGACAGCAUGAUGAGGAAGCUCAAGAAGUAGGAAAAUGAAAAUUUAGGAUGUCAGGGUCAUGAGAAGUCAAAUUUUAUAGGUACUUCAAGUGAGUCCAAUAAAAUUUUUGCCCUUGAAAUGGUGAAGACCUAAAGUGUAAACCUCCUGCAAGAUGCAAUAUUGAUAUCUUCAUUCCCUUCUCAAGGAAUAUUGGCUCUUAAAAGGCAGUGUCCAUUAAGAAAUAAGACUGUUUAGCCUGCAGCCCAGUGAGAAACCUGAACCGUAUCGAGACGCUAUGGAUGAUGUGAUGCAAUGUUGGCCAGAGACAAGAAGUAUGGAGGCCACGGGUUUGAGUGAAGAAAUCACUAAGGAAGAGGUUUCUCUGUCCUGUGCUGCUCCAGAGGAGGCCUCAGGGAUCAAAGAGGAACCCUCCAAGCCCUUUGCACACUCCUGACCCACCAACAUAAACCAUGAAGACGUUUGUAGAAGACCACCAGAUGACAAGAUGGAAAGAAUUAGAAGAGAGAGAUCAAGAAAUCUACCCAUUAAGAAACAUCCACAUUGGGUUUUGUUAUGAUCAAUGCAUAUUUUAUUAAGUCCCUGAGAUUUUGGGAUUCUUUCUUAUAACAGUUAUACUAUCUUAGACAUUAGAUAGUACAUCCUAUUCUCCACCAAAGCUGUCAGAAUGAGCCUAGUAAAAUAUAGGUCAAAUGAAAUCACUCUUUUCCUCACUUACUUUAUUCAGUCACACAGGCCUCCUAACUAUUCCUAGAAUGCACCAACCACUGCUUCAUUGAAAGCCUUUUAUUCCCUCUUUCCUAUGCCUGGAGUGCUCUGCUGAUGAUAAUUCUAUGUCUAUUCCCUUAUCUCUUUAGUCAAUCUCUUAGUGAAAUUUUCCUUGACCUACUUAUUUAAAAUGGAAUCUGACUUUCACUCUGACAUCUUAUGUUGCCCUUACUCUUAGAAUUUUCUCCAGAGGAAUUGUUACUAUGCCACAUACUCAAUUCUUUGUUGGGUCUAUUUGACUCCUAGUACUUAUAAAUGUGUCUAGAACGUAUCAGGAACCCAGAGGUGGGAGUGGGGUUCAGGAUGGGGAAUAUGUGUAUACCCAUGGUGGAUUCAUGUUGAUGAAUCCAAUCCAAUACAAAACCAAUACAAUAUUGUAAAGUAAUU